GCAGGUGAGGGUGAGAACGGCAAGCAUGACUCAAAAUCGUGUUCCUUCUGGAGUGUCGGUUCGACCCCGACCACCGGUA
rnacentral:tRNA from 1 species